GCCUGGGUGGCUCAGUCAUUGAGUGUCUGACUUCAGCUCAGGUCAUGAUCUCAUGGUUUUGUGGGUUCAAGCCCCACAUUGGGCU
rnacentral:tRNA from 1 species